UGCAAGUCGAACGGUGACGACCAGCUUUGCUGGUCUGAUCAGUGGCGAACGGGUGNANAUAACACGUGAGCAACCUGCCCCUGACUCUGGGAUAACGACCGGAAACGGUCGCUAAUACCGGAUAUGAGACGUACAGGCAUCUGUUGCGUCUGGAAAGUUUUUCGGUCAGGGAUGGGCUCGCGGCCUAUCAGCUUGUUGGUGGGGUAACGGCCUACCAAGGCGACGACGGGUAGCCGGCCUGAGAGGGCGACCGGCCACACUGGGACUGAGACACGGCCCAGACUCCUACGGGAGGCAGCAGUGGGGAAUAUUGCACAAUGGGCGCAAGCCUGAUGCAGCGACGCCGCGUGAGGGAUGACGGCCUUCGGGUUGUAAACCUCUUUCAGCAGGGAAGAAGCGCAAGUGACGGUACCUGCAGAAGAAGCGCCGGCUAACUACGUGCCAGCAGCCGCGGUAAUACGUAGGGCGCAAGCGUUGUCCGGAAUUAUUGGGCGUAAAGAGCUCGUAGGCGGUUUGUCGCGUCUGCUGUGAAAACCUCAGGCUCAACCUGGGGCUUGCAGUGGGUACGGGCAGACUAGAGUGCGGUAGGGGUGACUGGAAUUCCUGGUGUAGCGGUGGAAUGCGCAGAUAUCAGGAGGAACACCGAUGGCGAAGGCAGGUCACUGGGCCGCAACUGACGCUGAGGAGCGAAAGCAUGGGGAGCGAACAGGAUUAGAUACCCUGGUAGUCCAUGCCGUAAACGUUGGGCACUAGGUGUGGGGCUCAUUCCACGAGCUCUGUGCCGCAGCAAACGCAUUAAGUGCCCCGCCUGGGGAGUACGGCCGCAAGGCUAAAACUCAAAGAAAUUGACGGGGGCCCGCACAAGCGGCGGA
rnacentral:rRNA from 1 species